GCCUGCUUAGAGCAGUGGUAGCUCGUUACCCUCCGGUUGACAUACUGGUGUUUAGGUAAAAGUCACGGGUUCGAAUCCCGUAGUGGGUU